CCUACGGGAGGCAGCAGUGGGGGAUAUUGCACAAUGGGGGGAACCCUGAUGCAGCGACGCCGCGUGGGUGAAGGAGCGUUUCGGCGCGUAAAGCCCUAUCGGCAGGGAAGAAGGAGGACGGUACCUGACUAAGAAGCCCCGGCUAACUACGUGCCAGCAGCCGCGGUAAUACGUAGGGGGCAAGCGUUAUCCGGAUUUACUGGGUGUAACGGGGGCGCAGACGGCAGCGCAAGCCAGGAGUGAAAGCCCGGGGCCCAACCCCGGGACUGCUCUUGGAACUGCGCGGCUGGAGUGCAGGAGGGGCAGGCGGAAUUCCUGGUGUAGCGGUGAAAUGCGUAGAUAUCAGGAGGAACACCGGUGGCGAAGGCGGCCUACUGGACUGUAACUGACGUUGAGGCUCGAAAGCGUGGGGAGCAAACAGGAUUAGAUACCCCAGUAGUC
rnacentral:rRNA from 1 species